ACACAUGCAAGUCGAGGGGCAGCAUGGUCUUAGCUUGCUAAGGCUGAUGGCGACCGGCGCACGGGUGAGUAACACGUAUCCAACCUGCCGUCUACUCUUGGCCAGCCUUCUGAAAGGAAGAUUAAUCCAGGAUGGGAUCAUGAGUUCACAUGUCCGCAUGAUUAAAGGUAUUUUCCGGUAGACGAUGGGGAUGCGUUCCAUUAGAUAGUAGGCGGGGUAACGGCCCACCUAGUCAACGAUGGAUAGGGGUUCUGAGAGGAAGGUCCCCCACAUUGGAACUGAGACACGGUCCAAACUCCUACGGGAGGCAGCAGUGAGGAAUAUUGGUCAAUGGGCGAUGGCCUGAACCAGCCAAGUAGCGUGAAGGAUGACUGCCCUAUGGGUUGUAAACUUCUUUUAUAAAGGAAUAAAGUCGGGUAUGCAUACCCGUUUGCAUGUACUUUAUGAAUAAGGAUCGGCUAACUCCGUGCCAGCAGCCGCGGUAAUACGGAGGAUCCGAGCGUUAUCCGGAUUAUAUUGGGUUUAAAGGGAGCGUAGAUGGAUGUUUAAGUCAGUUGUGAAAGUUUGCGGCUCA
rnacentral:rRNA from 1 species